rnacentral:rRNA from 1 species
CCUUACUAUAAGUGUUGUCUAGAGGCUUGGUGCCAGAAGACUCGGUAAGACCAGAAACGCAAACGUUAGUCAUCUUAAUCAGGCGUAAAGGGUAUGUAGGCAGCUUUGAAAAUUUUAAUUUUAAAAAUUUUUUUUCUUUUCUAGAAAAAAGAGUAGCUCUAUUUUGUACAUAAAUUAAAUAGUAAAAAUAAAAUCAAUUAAAGCUAGAAUCUAAUAGAGGAAAAACCAAAUAAUACUUAGAGUAGGGAUGAUAUCCAUAGAUACUAAGGGGAAUA